UUGAAAACUUCGCAGCUGCUCAGCUUCUUCAUCAGCCACUUGCUUCUCAUAAUCUCUCCUUGACUAAACAAUCAAGAGUUAGAGCAAAAAGUAUCAAAUAUAUGAUGCGUGCAUAAAUAUGUCCAUGUUAUGUUCAUACACAGGGGAGACAGACAGACAUCAAUUUGUAUGCAUGAGCAAAUGCAUUGAGCAGAGAAGAGAUCAACGAGUUGAAUCAAAGAGUUAGAGCAAAAAGUAUCACAUAUAUGAUGUCCAUGUUAUGUUCAUACACAGAGGAGACAGACACACAUCAAUUUGUACACAUAAGCAAAUGCAUUGAGCAGAGAAGAGAUCAACGAGUUAGAGAGCAUCAAAAGGUUAUAUCUUUUAUCCUCUUCUAAUGCAAAUUAACUCAGCCCAAUACCAACUUCUCGAGAACUGGUCUUUCCGUUGCAAAAUAAACAGUGGAGCUCACCUUCCAUGUAUUAUCGCACAAGAACAUCAAGAGUACACUAAAUAAGGUUUUCCUAAACAAAUAAGAGAUUGGAAUAAAUAUAUUCAUAUAAGUAAAACCAAAUUUCCAUAUGUACUACGGCACAUAGAAUUGUAUAACUUCACAACACUACACUAAAUGGCAAAUGUCAUAAAAAGCAACAAAAUAAGAAGCUGAAGAAAUUCAAACUCCUGCCAUGACGAUCUUGUCUAAGUCAAGCUGGGCGGGGUCAUCCAGCAUUUCAUUCCAAUCUGAAAGCUGAGGAACCUCACACGUUGAACCCCCUCCACAUGUAGGGAGGAAGAUCAUGGCGCUAUGCAAAACAUAUCUUGAAAGCUUGAUUAAAAAGGUAUAGUGAAGCAUUAAGAACUAAACUAUGCUGGAG
rnacentral:lncRNA from 1 species